AUGGCUCAGGAUGAACGCUGGCGGCGUGCCUAACACAUGCAAGUCGAGCGAUCUCUUCGGAAGAGAGCGGCGGACGGGUGAGUAACGCGUGGGUAACCUGCCCUGUACACACGGAUAACAUACCGAAAGGUAUGCUAAUACGGGAUAACAUACUUUUAUCGCAUGGUAGAAGUAUCAAAGCUCCGGCGGUACAGGAUGGACCCGCGUCUGAUUAGCUAGUUGGUAAGGUAACGGCUUACCAAGGCGACGAUCAGUAGCCGACCUGAGAGGGUGAUCGGCCACAUUGGAACUGAGACACGGUCCAAACUCCUACGGGAGGCAGCAGUGGGGAAUAUUGCACAAUGGGCGAAAGCCUGAUGCAGCCAACGCCGCGUGAGCGAUGAAGGCCUUCGGGUCGUAAAGCUCUGUCCUCAAGGAAGAUAAUGACGGUACUUGAGGAGGAAGCCCCGGCUAACUACGUGCCAGCAGCUGC
rnacentral:rRNA from 1 species